UACGAAGGGGGCUAGCGUUGUUCGGAAUUACUGGGCGUAAAGCGCACGUAGGCGGAUACUUAAGUCAGGGGUGGAAUCCCGGGGCUCAACCCCCGGAACUGCCUUUGAUACUGGGUAUCUCGAGUCCGGAAGAGGUGAGUGGAAUUCCGAGUGUAGAGGUGAAAUUCGUAGAUAUCAGGAGGAACACCAGUGGCGAAGGCGGCUUCUGGACGAUAACUGACGCUGAGACG
rnacentral:rRNA from 1 species